AAGAUAGCUGUUUCUUCGGCGAUGGCGGCACUCUAGCUACGUUUCACCGGAAGAGUAGAUGUUUACGAUUCUGGCUGUAUUCUGGAGCGUUUCCUCAUGGGCGUCGCAGUUCACACACGUCACGGAUUCCGCCGAAGGAGUCGAUAAUUAAAAAAUGGUAUUCGUCAGUGAACAUUUUCAAACUGGGAAUAAUAUAUCAUAAGCAGAUUGAAAUGUGUGAACGUUACAGUGUUUCGAAGACUAAGUUUCGUAGCAGAUUUUGAUUCCGUCACGGG